rnacentral:lncRNA from 1 species
GAUGGUUUAUUUUUCUUUUGUUGCAAUGCACGGUUUGUUAGUUAGAAAUAAAAUAAAAGAUGACUGGAAUUCUUCCGUCUAGGGAACUCAACAGAAGGGAUUUUUUUUGCAGUCACUGUCCUAGCUUCUGAACAAAUCUGGACUCAGCCAUCAUCUGAACACUCUACCAGUUUUGCUUCUGCAAUCUUCUCACUGUCUGGGCCUUUGAAUAUCUGGUACGCCCCCUAACCCUCUACGUCCCGACGCACAAAGAAGAAUCUGUU